rnacentral:lncRNA from 1 species
CACCCUUCACCUUGGGACCUUUCAGAUGCAAAUCAAAGUCAGGCAUGGAGAUCUUGGGGGCUUUGAUGUUCAUCUCAGGCAUCUUGAAUUUAGGGCCCUUUAGUUUCGCAUCUGGACCUUCGAUAUUCACAUCAGGAACAUCAAUGUCCACCUUGGGUCCUGAGACGUCAAGGUCAGCCUUGGGCAGGUUCACAUCCACUUCUGGGCCCUCUGCUUUGAAGCCAGGCAUGCUGAACUUGGGCAUUUUCAUCUUGGGCAUCUUCAGGUGCCAGUCUGGGCCUUGAACCUCCACAUCUGGGACAUCAAUGUCCAUUUUGGCACUUUUAAGUUCAACAUCAGGAACUUUAAUCUCACUUUCAACCUUUGGCAUUGUGACAUCAUAUUCUCCCUUUACGUUAGGGCCUUUCAGAUGUAAGUCCACAUCAGGCAUGGAGAUCUUGGGGACUUUGAUGUUCA